UACGAGGGGGGCGAGCGUUGUCCGGAUUUAUUGGGCGUAAAGAGCGUGUAGGCGGCCAGACAGGUCCGUUGUGAAAACUCGAGGCUCAACCUCGAGACGCCGAUGGAAACCGUCUGGCUAGAGUCCGGAAGAGGAGAGUGGAAUUCCUGGUGUAGCGGUGAAAUGCGCAGAUAUCAGGAAGAACACCCGUGGCUAAGGCGGCUCUCUAGUACGGUACUGACGCUGAGACGCGAAAGCGUGGGGAGCGAACAGG
rnacentral:rRNA from 1 species